rnacentral:rRNA from 1 species
UACGGAGGGUGCAAGCGUUAAUCGGAAUUACUGGGCGUAAAGCGUGCGCAGGCGGCUUUGCAAGACAGAUGUGAAAUCCCCGGGCUCAACCUGGGAACUGCAUUUGUGACUGCAAGGCUAGAGUACGGCAGAGGGGGAUGGAAUUCCGCGUGUAGCAGUGAAAUGCGUAGAUAUGCGGAGGAACACCGAUGGCGAAGGCAAUCCCCUGGGCCUGUACUGACGCUCAUGCACGAAAGCGUGGGGAGCAAACAGG